rnacentral:rRNA from 1 species
UAGGGAAUCUUCCGCAAUGGGCGAAAGCCUGACGGACCAACGCCGCGUGAGUGAUGAAGGUCUUCGGAUCGUAAAACUCUGUUAUUAGGGAAGAACAAAUGUGUAAGUAACUAUGCACGUCUUGACGGUACCUAAUCAGAAAGCCACGGCUAACUACGUGCCAGCAGCCGCGGUAAUACGUAGGUGGCAAGCGUUAUCCGGCAUUAUUGGGCGUAAAGCGCGCGUAGGCGGUUUUUUAAGUCUGAUGGGAAAGCCCACGGCUCAACCGUGGAGGGUCAUUGGAAACUGGAAAACUUGAGGGCAGGAGAAGAAAGUGGAAUUCCAUGUGGAGCGGUGAAAUGCGCAGAGAUAUGGGGGAACACCAGGGGCGAAGGCGACUUUCUGGUCUGUAACUGACGCUGAUGUGCGAAAGCGUGGGGAUCAAACAGG